rnacentral:rRNA from 1 species
UACGGGGGGAGCAAGCGUUGUUCGGAAUUACUGGGCGUAAAGGGCUCGUAGGCGGCCAACUAAGUCGGACGUGAAAUCCCUCGGCUUAACCGGGGAACUGCGUCCGAUACUGGAUGGCUUGAGUUUGGGAGAGGGAUGCGGAAUUCCAGGUGUAGCGGUGAAAUGCGUAGAUAUCACUUGGAACGCCGACGGUGAAAACAGUCUGCUGGGGGUUUGCUGACGCUGAGACACGAAAGCCAGGGGAGCGAACGGG